rnacentral:rRNA from 1 species
CGAAGGUGGCAAGCGUUGUUCGGAUUUACUGGGCGUACAGGGAGCGUAGGCGGUUCGGUAAGCCCUUUGUGAAAUCUCCAGGCUUAACCUGGAACAGUCGGAGGGGACUGCCGGGCUAGAGGACGGGAGAGGAGCGCGGAAUUCCCGGUGUAGCGGUGGAAUGCGCAGAGAUCGGGAGGAAGGCCGGUGGCGAAGGCGGCGCUCUGGAACGUUUCUGACGCUGAGGCUCGAAAGCGUGGGGAGCAAACAGGAUUAGAUACCCUGGUAGUCCACGCCUUAAACUAUGAAUACUAAGUGUCGGCGGGUUACCGUCGGUGCCGCAGCUAACGCAUUAAGUAUUCCGCCUGGGAAGUACGGCCGCAAGGUUG